AUAAAUGAUAAAUCAAUCCUAGUUGCCAUAAUAACAUGGCUUAUCAAAUGAAGAUUACAAGUGAAGGAGAGUAAAGACAAGACAAAGUGGUUAGCUUUGGUACACGAAUCAGUGCGAGAAGCGUGGAAGAAUAACGCAGUAGUUAAAAUUCAUCGGUCUAAUUACCAAAUCAGGUUGACAUAGCUCGAAAUUGUGAUAGUUUACCAUAUCCUGGAG
rnacentral:misc_RNA from 1 species